rnacentral:lncRNA from 1 species
GGUCCCUGAAAGACAGAUGUAGUAAUUAGAUGGAGAUGAAGAAGAAAGAUAUUUAAGGUGGAGGUUACAGUGAGCACAGAUUUGAAAGUGAAAAAAUAGUAAUCCUAUUUAGGAAAGUUUCUUUGGAAAAAGAUUUAGGAAGGGAAGAAGUGGGAACUAAGAUUGAAAAGGCCAUAUAUUAUAGCCAAAUUUUUGAAGGCCUUGAAUGCCAGGCUAAGGUUUUUGGACAUAUCUGAUACUUACCUGUUUUAUUUGCUUGUCAUUUUGCUUCAGCUUCCUUAUGGCUUUCUCAUACAUUAAAAACCCUUAGGAAAAUUUUAAGGAUGGAAGUAUGAACACUGGAGGAAGAAAACCAAUAAGAUUAUUGCAGUAGUCACCUCUCUAGGUAUAUCCACUUACAGUAGCUUCUGUGUUUUCUGCAAAACCUGUCAAGCUGUUCAACUGAGAAAAUUCAAGGUAUGGUACAGCUCUUGUAAACUGACAAUACUGAUCUUGGACCAGGUAAGGAAAGACAGUAUCCAAAAGAAUACUGCCUAGAAAAGAACAAUACAUUUUUUUUCUCAAGAUUUCUUUUUAUUGUUUAACCUUUUUUGUUUGUUUGUUUGUUUAUUUUUAAUACACAUUGCUUUAUGAAUCAUGUUGGGAGAGAAAAAUUAGUUGUUUAACCUUUUUAUCAUAGGUUACUGGCAGUCAGAAAUGUCUAUUAUAUUCAUCUCCACUUAAAGUUUUACUUAAAACAAGCAGUUUGAUCCUUUGAAAAUAACCCUUCCAUUUAAAACCGGAUGUACAAUGCUUCUUUUUCUGCCUUCCAAACACAGUGGUAUCAAAUACAAAUGAAAGUAUUGUUUUUCCUACUUAAAUGAUUAUGACUAAUAAACUGGACAUAUAAGGACAUAUAAAGUUUCAGUGGGAAUACAGAGUAGGUUUUGGGUGGAGAGAGACAGAAACAGAGACAGACACGGAGAUACACAGACAGGGAGAGGAAGGGAGAGAGAGAAAGAGAGAGAAGAAGAUUAAAGGAAGGAAGAAAAAAA